rnacentral:rRNA from 1 species
CAGCAGCCGCCGCGGUAAUACCGAGGGUGCGAGCGUUAAUCGGAUUUACUGGGCGUAAAGCGUGCGUAGGCGGCUUCUUAAGUCGGAUGUGAAAUCCCUGAGCUUAACUUAGGAAUUGCAUUCGAUACUGGGAAGCUAGAGUAUGGGAGAGGAUGGUAGAAUUCCAGGUGUAGCGGUGAAAUGCGUAGAGAUCUGGAGGAAUACCGAUGGCGAAGGCAGCCAUCUGGCCUAAUACUGACGCUGAGGUACGAAAGCAUGGGGAGCAAACAGGAUUAGAUACCCCUGUAGUCCCUGUCUCUUAUAC